GGAGUUAGCCGGUGCUUCUUCUGUGAGUGAUGUCCUUCCUGCCGGCUAUUAACCCGCAGGCCUUCUUCCUCACUGAAAGUGCUUUACAACCCGAAGGCCUUCUUCACACACGCGGCAUGGCUGGAUCAGGGUUGCCCCCAUUGUCCAAUAUUCCCCACUGCUGCCUCCCGUAGGAGUCUGGGCCGUGUCUCAGUCCCAGUGUGGCUGAUCAUCCUCUCAGACCAGCUACGGAUCGUCGCCUUGGUGAGCCGUUACCUCACCAACCAGCUAAUCCGACAUAGGCUCAUCCGAUAGCGCGAGGCCCGAAGGUCCCCCGCUUUCCCCCGUAGGGCGUAUGCGGUAUUAGCCUGGGUUUCCCCAGGUUAUCCCCCACUACCGGGCAGAUUCCUAUGCAUUACUCACCCGUCCGCCGCUCGCCACCAGGAGCAAGCUCCCGUGCUGCCGCUCGACUUGCAUGUGUAGCUGCCGCAGCGUCAUCUGACGCCAGAACUACCGAACCCUGA
rnacentral:rRNA from 1 species